AACGAACGCUGGCGGCGUGGUUCAGGCAUGCAAGUCGAACGAUCUCGCAAGGGAUAGUGGCAGAAGGGUUAGUAACACGUGGGUAAUCUACCCUCGAGUCGGGGAUAACUCCGCGAAAGCGGGGCUAAUACCCGAUAACAUCACUGGGUCGCAUGAUUCGGUGAUCAAAGGUGGCUCGCAAGGGCUGCCGAUUGAGGAGGAGCCCGCGGCCUAUCAGCUAGUUGGUGAGGUAACGGCCCACCAAGGCUUUUGACGGGUAGCUGGUCUAAGAGGACGAUCAGCAACAUUGGGACUGAGACACUGCCCAGACUCCUACGGGAGGCUGCAGUCGAGGAUCUUUAGCAAUGCCCGAAAGGGUGACUAUGCGACGCCGCGUGC
rnacentral:rRNA from 1 species